rnacentral:lncRNA from 1 species
CGCGUCCCUUACGGUCCUGGGCCGGUGGGCCCGCCUCGCCGCGCCUAUUUGCGUCAGCAGGUGCCUUAUAGGGUCUUGCGGGGACCUAAUGGCGUUCAUGCAUUCGACAGAGCUUUACUGAGACUCUGCUCUUGUGCCAGGCAGGGCCUGGUGGGAUCAGGGAGAACCCACGAAAGACACGCUGUGAAUGCCACGUUUCUGUCAUCUGAGUGUCUUUGUCCGCUCCCAUGAAGGAAGUCCCCAGCUGGGGCCAGGCAUCCAAAGACUAGCCUUGUCUGGGCUGGCACAAAGAACAGUCCUUCAGAAACUGAGGACCAAGCUGAACAUCACAGCUGCCCAUUCAAGACCUGCUACAUAAUUUGUGGAGCCCAGUGCAAACAAAAAUUGUAGAGCUCCUUGUUCAAAACUUAAGAAUGUCAAGAUGAUGACGGCAGAGUUCAGAGCCCUUCUGAGGGUGGAGUGCCAUGUGACUGCACAUGGCCCACCCUGUGCUCCCACUGGUGGUCCAUGGUCCUGUGUUGUCCUACGGAACCUACGAGGCUGGAUGGGGUCUGCCCAGAGCAGGAGAGAGCCAGGCGAGUAGCCAGCUGGGCCACGCAAAGGGCACCUGCAGGCAUGGUCUGUGUCCAUGCAGCUCGCCUGGGCAGCCUGGCUCGCAGCUCCUAUCCUGCCACCUGCCAUAGAGCUGCCGGCUCUCUGCCCCCUUGCCUUUAUGUUUGUUAUUGUGAUAGAACGUGUAUCUAGAAUAAAGUGCACAAGUCCAAAGUA